AGGACGAACGCUGGCGGCGUGCUUAACACAUGCAAGUCGAGCGGUAAGGCCUUUCGGGGUACACGAGCGGCGAACGGGUGAGUAACACGUGGGUGAUCUGCCCUGCACUCUGGGAUAAGCCUGGGAAACUGGGUCUAAUACCGGAUAUGACCUGCUCUCGCAUGGGGGUGGGUGGAAAGAUUUAUCGGUGCAGGAUGGGCCCGCGGCCUAUCAGCUUGUUGGUGGGGUAAUGGCCUACCAAGGCGACGAC
rnacentral:rRNA from 1 species